GAACAAUGUUUGUUGUAGUGUGUAGUAGUCUUGUUGGUAAUCCUCUUGUAUACCCGUGUCGGGGCUAGGUGGAGGACUGGAAGAGCUCGGAACAUUGUCGUGAUGGAAGUGUUGGGAUUGGUGAAUGUGGGGGGAUUGAUAUUGUGGUAGGUGUUGGGACUGUUGAUGGUGGUGGGAAUGUUGAGGUUGGUGUUGGUAAUCUUCAUGGUAUUGGGGUUGAGUUUGUGGUAUGUAAUGUUGAUUUGGUUGGGGGGUGGACAUGUGUUGUGGUGGUUGUUGUUGGUAAUACGGUGGUGGUUGUUGUUGUUGGUAAUAAGGUGGUGGUGGUUGUUGUGGGUAAUAUGGUGGUGGUUGUUGUUGUUGGUAAUACUGUGCUGGUUGUUGUUGUUGGGAAUAUUAUGGUGGUUGUUGUUGUUGGAAAUAUGGUUGUUG
rnacentral:lncRNA from 1 species